CUGGGCGGCAGGCAGUGCAUACAAACACACAUGCUGACACGCACACAAACAUCCUCAGUGAGCGUAAGUGAAACAAGUACUGGCUCCACUCAGCUGUGAGUUGACUGGCUCGCCGCUGUCUAUUUGCCGGUAUGCCGCAGAGAAAGAGGAGUUUCACCUUUGGAGCCUAUGGAGGGGUAGACAAGACCUUCUCCAAGGCAAGAAGUGUUUGG